rnacentral:rRNA from 1 species
AUGGACGAGAUGUAUCUCCAAUCGCUGGUGCUGGCGGCGGUGGCGGUUGCGCUGCUGCAGGUGCUGAGGGUGGCCCUGAACCCGGCGAGGGAGAGGGCGCCGCCAGGGCCAUGGAAGCUGCCGGUGAUCGGCAGCAUGCACCACCUCAUGAACGUGCUGCCGCACCGCGCGCUGAGGGACCUGGCCCGCGCGCAUGGCCCGCUCAUGAUGCUGCAGCUUGGGCAGACGCCACUGCUGGUGGCCUCGUCUAGGGAGACGGCGCGGCUGGUGCUCAGGACCCACGACGCUAACUUCGCCACGCGGCCAAAGAUCCUCGCCGCCGAGAUCGUCACGUACCAGUCGUCCGACACCCUCUUCUCCCCCACCGGCGACUACUGGCGCAAACUCCGCCAGCUCUGCGCCGCCGAGAUCCUAGGCCCCAAGCGCGUGCUCUCCUUCCGCCACAUUAGGGAGGACGAGAUGAGGAUGCGGGUGGAUGAGAUCCGCAGGACAGGGUCGUCGAAACCCAUGAACAUGAGCGUCCUGUUCCACGGCCUGACCAACAACAUCAUUGCGCGGGCGGCAUUCGGGAAGACGCCGAAGAAGUCGCCAGAGUUCCUGGAUGCCGUCACAUCCGGGUUGCGCCUGGCGAGCGGCUUCGACAUCCCCGACCUCUUCCCGGAGUGGACGACAGUGCUCGCCGCACUCACCGGCAUGAAGCGCAGCCUCCAGGGCGUCCACAAGACGGUGGACGCAUUCCUGGAGGAGAUGAUCAACGAGAGGAAUGCCACCCGCGCUGACAAGAUCAAGGUCGGCGGCGUCGAGAACAUGGACGAGAACUUCAUUGACGUGCUCAUCGGCCUGCAGGAAAGAGGCGGCCUUGGGUUCGACCUCGACAACAGCAGGAUCAAGGCCGUCAUCGUGGACAUGUUCGCGGCAGGCACGGGGACGGCAGCGUCGUCGAUGUAG